UAGAUGAAUAACUGACCUUAUUUGCUACUCAGGUGGCUAGAAGUAGGAAAUCAUAAAAAAAAUAAUAAUAAUAAUAAUAAUAAAAAGGUUAAUCGCAGCGCGCAGGUGCUUAGCUGUUAUUCUAAUGUAUUUUCGAGUUCAGGUAGGCGACUUUAUCUAGCGUUUGCCAGACGCGAAUGCUAAUAUGGAGCGUUAGCAAAACUCUGCUAGCAAGAAACUUUUAAAGUGGAGUAACUGUUUAGACAAGUACUUGCACUUUCACGUAAGUGUUGAGUUGUUCUGCCACCUCUGUAUAAGAUAGAGCCUCCAUUUAGACUGAAGUCAAGCCAAUUUUGCUAAUAUUUAACUCGGAUUCAAAAUGUCAGCAGGUUUUGUUGACAAUGGAAGCAAUGCAGGGUGUAAUUAUGUCAAAAAUAUCAGUAAGUAACUUCACAUUAAAGAAUGGUGUCCCAUGGAGAGAAUUAUAUGGAAACUUUAAUUCCAAGUCUAGAUUGCUGGAGGUCUUUAUGAGGAUCCAGAAAUGAAGACUAACUGGGGGAUGGCUUUUGGAUAAAGCUGCAGGUGGCAGUGGCCAGAGGAGCCCGUCUCUGUUGGCACAGGGAAUGUACAGCUACAGAGCCAUGAUGCUGAAGACGGUCGACAACAAUGGGGAAAAACAUUUACAUUGUCCCUCUUCAAGAACAAAUUGACACUUCAUUUAUUAAGAUGGGGACAGCCUGCCUGUCCUGUUUUUGGCAACCACUAUUCAAGAGAUGUGUUUUUUCCCCCUGCCAGUCUGUUGUGAAAG